ensembl:lncRNA
AUGUUCUGUUUUGAAAGAAUGCAACCCAGUUAAUGACACUCCAUCUGCACCUGAAAGCAGUGACAUUACAACUCAAUCAGACCAGGUGUCAGAUGAUGAAGAAGCUGACCACAUAUAUGAAACUCAAACACACGGGUUACUCUUGGACACAUGUUUGCAACCAAUAGAUAUCGCACAAGAAAUAUUUGAUCAGCAUUUCGAAAGUGUUUUAUCAAUAGCUCCAGCUGAAGGCAACAGUCCUGUUAGGCUGCUGACAGAUAAGGGCAAUGAAGCAAAAUGUUUCCCAACUCUUUUCCCCAAAGGGACAGGUACAUUCCAUGAUGCACGGCCCCACAGGCUCACUCUCAGUAGAUACAUCAACACACGAAUCCUAAAUGCUGAUGGGAGGUUUAGCAGCAACUUGGACUACAUUUUCUAUGCUCAAUAUUUAUCUGAGGUCAAUCAGGUUGUUUCCAAGGUGUCCAUAGCACUGAGAAAAGGUUACCAUGCAGGGGAAUCAUUGGCUAUAACUUCCGCCAUGCUUUCAAACAAAGACUAUGUACAAAAUGUCUUAAAAACCGAUCUCGGUUACAAGUUCCUUCAACCGAUCCGAGGGACUCCAGUUUUUUGGCAAGGUGUACAGAAAAAUCUAUUUGCUAUGGUUCGUCAGCUUGGUGUCCCUACUUGGUUCUGUUCAUUUUCAUGUGCUGAUUUACGCUGGACUGAACUCAUCGAUGUUUUCAUGAGACUACAGAAAAUACAGGGAAAUGUCAACGACCUGGACUGGUCACAGAGGUGCAAUUUACUCAAAACUAAUCCGGUUACCGCGGCAAGAAUGUUCCAACACAGGUUUCAGACUUUCCUAAAUGACGUCAUCAAGUCACCAGCUAACCCCAUUGGUAAAGUUAUCGACACAUUUUUUAGAGUUGAAUUCCAACAACGCGGCUCACCCCAUACUCAUUGUCUGUUCUGGGUAGAAAAUGCACCGAAAAUAGGCAAAAACACAGACCAAGAAGUCACACAAUUUAUAGAUAAAUACAUCAGUUGUGAACUCCCGCCAGCAACCGACGCAUUGCAUGAAGUUGUUUCCAGCGUUCAAAAACACAGCUCCAAGCACUCAAAGAGUUGUAGGAAAAAAGGCACAACAUGCAGAUUUAACUUUCCACGUCCUCCAAGCAACCACACCUUUCUUUGUAGAAGUAAAACAGACGAGAAGCAGGAGGUAACAGACGCUGAUCCGAUAGACGUCUCUAUAUUAGAAAUGCGAAAAGAAAAAGAGGUGGCUAAAAGUGUCAUGACAAGGGUCAAACAUGCUCUUUCAAGUCCAGACCUAACCUUCGACACUGUGGAUCAGCUAUUUGCUUCCGUUAACAUCACCCAGGAAAUGUUUGAAAAUGCCUACCGAUUGACAACCAAUAAAAACGCGGUUGUACACAAACGCAACCCAUCAGAUGUUUACGUUAAUCAAUACAACAAAGACCUUUUGCGUUGCUGGGAUGCCAACAUGGACAUACAAUAUGUCUGCGAUGCUUUUGCUUGUGUAGUAUACAUAAUAUCCUACAUCUCAAAAGCAGAACAAGACAUGGGCUUAUUGUUACAACAUACUCAAAAUGAAAUGAAAAAACAUGGAAAUUUAGAUGCAAAACAAACACUCAAUAAGUUGGGAAGUGUCUUUCUCCACAAUCGCGAGGUCUCAGCUCAAGAAAGUGUUUAUCGAGUUACAAACAUGCAUCUCAACGAAUGCUCAAGACUGGUCACAUUUAUCCCUACUGGUGAAAAUACCGUCAGAAUGAGUUAUCCUCUCAGUGUCAUUCAAAGCAAAGCAGAACAGGGUGACACGUCAACAGAAUCGAUAUGGAUGACGAGCACAACGGACCGCUACAAAAACCGCCCCCAGGGCGCAAUUUUUAAUGAUAUUUGUAUAGCCACAUUUGUUUCAAAAUACAGAGUUUUGUACGGGAAAGAGCAGCACAGCAAUGGCUCUGUUAAACUGGAAAAUAACACUGGCUUUGUUAAGAUGAGAACUAGGGGAUCUGAUGCUGUUGCUAGAUACGCUCGUUUCUCACAAACCAAAUAUCCAGAAAAACACUACCAAAGUUUGCUACAAUUGUUUUUGCCUCAUUAUACAACAGAUGAGUUAAAACCUCCACCGUACAACAGUUAUGAGCAGUUUUACAGGACCGGUUCCAUCACUAACAGCAGCAAUACAACGCAAAGUGUUAAGGAAGUUGUAGAUUUGAACAGAUCCCUCUUUGAAGUAGAUGCAGAUGAGCUCGAUAGACGCCAAGAGGUUGCAGGGCACCACGGGGCUCACGACGAGGCAUGGGCAGACCUUUGCCCUGAAUCUGAGUUGGAGCGAUUAGAAUGUCAGGAGAUGUCUAACAACAACGACACAAAUCAAAAUGAAAGAGAAGCCAUACCGGACUUGCAGUCGGACACAAAGGCGACACUGUCUAAAGAAUUUCCCACACACUCGAUACAAAGAGCUGAAGGCCUGUCCAUUAUGCGCACGUUAAACGAACAACAGACUCAAAUUUUUUACAAAAUCCGCGCAUGGUGCCUUGACAAAGUCAAUGGCAAAAACCCUGACCCGUUUCGCGUAUUCAUUUCAGGGGGAGCAGGCACAGGAAAGUCCCACCUGAUUAAAGCUGUGUACUACGAGUCAUGCAGAC